AGCGAACGCUGGCGGCAGGCCUAACACAUGCAAGUCGAACGAACCUUUCGUGGUUAGUGGCGGACGGGUGAGUAACACGUGGGAACGUGCCUUUAGGUUCGGAAUAACUCAGGGAAACUUGUGCUAAUACCGAAUGUGCCCUUCGGAUGAAAGAUCUAUCGUCUGUAGAGCGGCCCGCGUAUGAUUAACCAGUUGGUUGAGGUAAUGGCUCACCAAGGCGACGAUCAUUAGCUGGUCUGAGAGGAUGAUCAGACACAUUGGGACUGAGACACGGCCCAAACUACUACGGGAGGCAGCAGUGGGGAAUCUUGCGAAAUGGGCGAAAGCCAGACGCAGCCAUGCCGCGUGAAUGAUGAAGGUCUUAGGAUUGUAAAAUUCUUUCACCGGCGACGAUAAUGACGGUACCCGGAGAAGAAGCACCGGCUAACUUCGUG
rnacentral:rRNA from 1 species